GUUAAAAAGCUCGUAGUUGGAUUUCUGUCCGAGGCAGCCGGUCCGCACCUGGUGCGUGUAUCAGGUUUGACUAGGGCAUCCUCUUGGGGAACGUUUCUGUGCUUCAUUGCAUGGGACGGAACUCAAGACUUUUACUUUGAGGAAAUUAGAGUGUUCACGGCAAGCUAUCGCUUUGAAUACAUUAGCAUGGAAUAAUAAUAUAGGGCGUAAGUCUUAUUUUGUUGGUUUCUAGGACAUACGCAAUGAUUAAUAGGGACAAUUGGGGGCAUUCGUAUUAACGCGUCAGAGGUGGAAUUCUUAGAUUGCGUUACGACGAACUACUGCGAAAGCAUUUGCCAAGGAUGUUUUCAUUGAUCAAGAACGAAAGUAUGGGGAUCGAAGACGAUUAGAUACCGUCGUAGUCUAUACCAUAAACUAUGCCAAUUAGAGAUUGGAGGUCGUUCGUUUUAUGACUCCUUCAGCACCUUAUGAGAAAUCAAAAUUUUUGGGUUCCGGGGGGAGUAUGGUCGCAAGGCUGAAACUUAAAGGAAUUGACGGAAGGGCGCCACCAGGAGUGGAGCCUGCGGCUUAAUUUGACUCAACACGGGAGAACUUACCAGGUCCAGACAUAGUAAGGAUUGACAGAUUGAUAGCUCUUUCU
rnacentral:rRNA from 1 species